GUAAGAAAUAGAUAACAGGGAUUUUUGGAUAGUAUAUGUUCAAGUAAUAGUGUUCCUUUUUUGUUAACAAUGUUGUUUCCUAAACCUUCUUGUAGGAACACUGUGACGAACUACCCUUCGCCACUGUUUUUUGGCCUGUUUGCCAGCCUCUUUUCCUGUGACUAUAGCCCCUGGGGUGUACUGCUGUUUAAGCAGUCUAUUUGGG